rnacentral:rRNA from 1 species
GACGAACGCUGGCGGCGUGCUUAACACAUGCAAGUCGAACGGAAAGGCCCUGCUUGCAGGGUACUCGAGUGGCGAACGGGUGAGUAACACGUGGGUGAUCUGCCCUGCACUUCGGGAUAAGCCUGGGAAACUGGGUCUAAUACCGGAUAGGAGCCAUUUUUAGUGAGAGUGUUGGAAAGUUAGUUUGGUGUGGGAGGAGGUGGCGGCCUGUCACCUUGGUGGUGGGGUAGUGGCCUACCAAGGAGGGGACGGGUAGCUGGCCGGCGGGGGUGGGUGGCCACGUGGGGACUGAGAUACGGCGCAGACUCGCACGGGGGGGAGCGGUGGGGAAUAUGGCACAGGGGGCGGAAGCCUGCUGAAGAAACGCGGCGGGCGGGAUGACGGCCUUGGUGUUGUAAACCGCUUUCGCGUGUGACGAAGCGUGAGUGACGGUAAUGGGUAAAGAAGCACCGGCUAACUACGU